AUCAUUUUGUGAUGAAUGCAAUUUGUAAUUCUUGAUAGGAAGAGUAUGAACAUAAUGAGUACUAACAAUAGAAGCUGACUCGUC